CCUACGGGAGGCAGCAGUAGGGAAUCUUUCACAAUGGGCGAAAGCCUGAUGGAGCAACGCCGCGUGCAGGAUGAAGGCCUUCGGGUUGUAAACUGCUUUUAUAAGCGAGAAAUAUGAUGGUAACUUAUGAAUAAGGAUCGGCUAACUACGUGCCAGCAGCCGCGGUCAUACGUAGGAUCCGAGCAUUAUCCGGAGUGACUGGGUGUAAAGAGUUGCGUAGGUGGCAUAAUAAGUAGCUAGUGAAAUCUGGUGGCUCAACCAUUCAGACUAUUAGCUAAACUGUUAAGCUCGAGACCGUUAGGGGUAACUGGAAUUUCUAGUGUAGGAGUGAAAUCCGUAGAUAUUAGAAGGAACACCAAUAGCGUAGGCAGGUUGCUGGGACGGUUCUGACACUAAGGCACGAAAGCGUGGGGAGCAAACAGGAUUAGAUACCCCAGUAGUC
rnacentral:rRNA from 1 species